rnacentral:lncRNA from 1 species
AGGCAAUCCAUCUGUUUUUGUUUUCUGUACCACAUUUCCUUCUCUAUAUUUUUUGCCCUGGGCUUUGAGAUACUGCUUCAACUUGAGCUUUUGGGGAACUAAUUAGUGUUUCAACAGCACAGCAGAGACAGCAUUUCACAAAGCAAAACUGCUCCCUAAUCUCAGAUAUUUGCCUGCCCAAUUAGCUGGAGGCUCCUUGAUGGCAGAGACUGCCUCCUUGGUAUCCCCAGCACACAGCACAGAACCUGGCACAUACAACCCCGAGAGCACAUCACAGUAUGGAGAAAACAUAAGAUCAAAGAAGCAUGCAACACUGAGCUAUCACACGGAGAACACCUGUCUGGGAAGCCACCUAAACUGACAGUGGACUUCUCAAGAGAAAGAAAUAAACUUUCUUGUUUUAGGACACUGAGAUUUUGGAGGUGUCUGUGCAGCAUAAUCUAUCCUAUCCUACUAUAUUCAACUCACAACUCCUUAUGCUCCAGGCCUACUUCUGUCUUUGAUUUCAUAUUAAAUUAAUUCCAACUUCCUCUUCUCUUAGAGCUAUAAUUUCAGUUAUAUAUGGCUGCAUAACAAACCACUCCAAAGCUUAAAACAACAAUAAAUUAUUAUUUCUCAUAAUUCUGUAUAACAAUAACAAGCAAAGUCAAGUCACCCAUAUUUUACAAAGUAGACUGGAGCUCAGAAAUCUAGACAUCUCAAAUCACACAACUAGUAAAUGGGAGAAGUGAAACUGGAACUCAUGUCUUACUACUGCAGGCCCUGUGUUUUUCAUUUUUUUUUUUUUUGGUUUGUUUUUUGCUAUUAAUGUAUCACAGUUACUUUGGCCAG